rnacentral:rRNA from 1 species
UCCGCCCGCUGGCGGCGUGCUUAACACAUGCAAGUCGAACGGAAAGGCCCUGCUUUUGUGGGGUGCUCGAGUGGCGAACGGGUGAGUAACACGUGAGUAACCUGCCCUUGACUUUGGGAUAACUUCAGGAAACUGGGGCUAAUACCGGAUAGGAGCUCCUGCUGCAUGGUGGGGGUUGGAAAGUUUCGGCGGUUGGGGAUGGACUCGCGGCUUAUCAGCUUGUUGGUGGGGUAGUGGCUUACCAAGGCUUUGACGGGUAGCCGGCCUGAGAGGGUGACCGGCCACAUUGGGACUGAGAUACGGCCCAGACUCCUACGGGAGGCAGCAGUGGGGAAUAUUGCACAAUGGGCGGAAGCCUGAUGCAGCAACGCCGCGUGCGGGAUGACGGCCUUCGGGUUGUAAACCGCUUUCGCCUGUGACGAAGCGUGAGUGACGGUAAUGGGUAAAGAAGCACCGGCUAACUACGUG